rnacentral:misc_RNA from 1 species
AAAUGUCGGAAUCGACGGAUGCAUCUUCUUGUCCCGGUCUUGGUCACGGUGCUCCCCCAAGCACGAUCGGUGGAGAAUCCCCAUCGGCAGCUCUCUUACCAAAUCCAAUAAUAACGAAAAGAACAAGAACCCAAUCCAUGUUGGAACUAGCUUUGGACAACCCUAUUGAAAAUGGUGUGAUCAAGAGCUUUUGCAGAGUGAAAGGUCAUGGUUUCAUAAAGAAAAAUGAUGGGGACGAAAUUUUUGUUCACGUGUCAGACAUUGAUGGAGAGUAUGUCCCAAGGAUUGGAGAUGAGGUGUCUUUUCGUAAACUUCUAGUGCCACCAAAACUGGAGAAAUUCCAAGCUGUUCAUGUUCAAAUAACGAAUUUCACACCUGAAGUUCAUCAGCGUUGGACAUCAGCACUUACAGCAGAAGAAAGUCAUGAAGGUUCAAGGCCAACUUCUCCUAGCAGCAUGAAUGUAGAUUCAUAGCACUGGCUCUGAUUAUGUCAUCAAUGUCCAAGAUUUCAUAGCACCACAGUUCUAGACUUUGUUUUGAAACUCUUCAAAAGCUUUCUGCUGUAUCUUCCUAUUGCAUCACUAACAUGCAUCAAGGAAGUACAACAUCAAAAUCACCGUACUUCUACAUGUAAGUGAAAAUCAGAAAAUCUUUGGGUAGUAAACAUGUUAGAAGCUUAAAUUUAAAGGAUUUGAGUUUUUAACACGUGCAAUGAGAUUUUGGGACUUCUUGCACAAAUUAUUGCUAAAUGAAUAAAAAGACUGUUCAACCAACAA